rnacentral:rRNA from 1 species
UACGAGGGGAGCAAGCGUUGUUCGGAUUUACUGGGUGUAAAGGGCGCGUAGGCGGUCGUGACAAGUCACUUGUGAAAUCUCCGGGCUUAACUCGGAACGGUCAAGUGAUACUGUCGGACUAGAGUACAGAAGGGGCAACUGGAAUUCUCGGUGUAGCGGUGAAAUGCGUAGAUAUCGAGAGGAACACCUGCGGCGAAGGCGGGUUGCUGGGCUGAUACUGACGCUGAUGCGCGAAAGCCAGGGGAGCGAACGGG